rnacentral:rRNA from 1 species
CAGCAGCCGCGGUAAUACAGAGGGUGCAAGCGUUAAUCGGAUUUACUGGGCGUAAAGGGCGCGUAGGUGGUUAUUUAAGUGAGAUGUGAAAUCCCCGGGCUUAACCUGGGAACUGCAUCUUAUACUGGGUAACUGGAGUGCAGUAGAGGGUAGUGGAAUUUCCGGUGUAGCGGUGAAAUGCGUAGAUAUCGGAAGGAACACCAGUGGCGAAGGCGGCUACCUGGACUGAGACUGACACUGAGGCGCGAGAGCGUGGGGAGCAAACAGGAUUAGAUACCCCGGUAGUCCCUGUCUCUUAUAC